CCUAACUGCAACGAGGUGUUCUCUUUCCCACUUUCAAUCUAAUCUUCUGUCUUCAUCCAAGCCCUUUCCAUCUUCAAUUCAUCCUCUUCAUCGUCUUCAUCUGCACAGAAGGUUCGAUCGACUGUGUGAGAAGCAACGGAAUCCUUGCGAAGUUGACGGAACCUCUAGACGACGAUGGCAUCUUCGUGAACCUCACAGAAGGUUCGAUCGAAUGUGUCCUUGCUGCGAUUUCCCUUUGAAUUGUGAAUUGGUCAGCAAUAUAUUUGACUUCUUUAGGGUAGGUAGAGACAGUCAUAUCCCCCUUUGAAGUGUUUUGAAGCUGCAUAUGCAACUGGAGGAUACUCGUGUGAGAUAGAGUUCUAAAGGCCGAUUGAAGAGCAGUCCAUACCUCAGCAACAGUGGUGAGUCCGACGACAUAAGGUAGCACAUCAGGUGUUAGAGAAGCAAGUAAAUAGCUCAUCACGGUCCUUGUGAACCAAUCCACAUAUGCCGGAUUGGCUGUGACGGUUCUUGAGUAGGCGAGAGUGAUAACAGGUGAAGGAGAAGAAGAGUUGCCAUCAACGAAUCUUAGAAGGUCAUGGCUGCGAAGAAGCAGGUACAACUGCGUGCACCAGAGAAGAAAGUUAUUAGGUGAAAGUUUCAAGGUAAUAUGAUGUUGGAAGUUCGGGUAAGAUGAUGGCAUGGGGGAGGAGAGGGAAGAAGAGGUAGCAGAGAUGGUGGCAAAGGAUGUAGAUAUGAUUCCCAGAUUAAAGACGCUAGUCGUCUGAUACCAUGUAAAGACAAUAAGAUUGGAUUUGAAAAAUUCUUUCCUUGAUUUUUGAGGAGGAUUGUAUUGAUUUAUAUAGAAUUAGAAAGGGAUAAGUUACAUAGGUUUUAUUGUUACUGCUAUACAGCUAUAAAGACAGGAUCAGCUAUAAAGAUAGGAUAAGAUUACAUGGUCA